CGCUUCUUGUUUGAGUGUCUUUCCCACUUCAGCAGGUGGGAACAAGUCAAGGUAAAUAAAUUCCAUGAGGAUCAGAGCGAGGCAUCUGAGUCCGGUGCACACGUUCACGCUGCAUACAUCCUGCAAGCCACCACCAUGCUGCUGUCUCAUCCUGGGGAGAGAGUUUAACCUCCCUAAGGGGAGGCAGGGACAACUUUGAGGUCCUCCUUGUGAGUUAAAUGAGAAAAUCUGAGCACAAGCUUUGCACUGUGCUUGAGAACCAGCAGCCUCAGUGGCAGCCCUUCCUCAUGUGUGCUUAGCAAUGGCUCUAAUAUGCCAUAUUUGAAGAGACUGCAAAACUAGGCUGGCACUGGCUGAGCUCUCGGGCCACCAGCCCUCGGCACUCCUGCCUUCUCCCAAGGUGACCCAGCACUGGCCUGCCAGCUCUGUCCAGAGCUGCUGAGUGAGUAAUUUUCUGAAAUGAAUCAAAACCAGUCGACAAGAGUCUCCUGAGGUGCCACUGAACACAGGCCUUGCCUUUCUCCUUUAAUGUUUGUGGGAUGGGGAGGGGGCAGGGGGUCUCAUUGUCUCACCUGUAAUUCCCCCAAAGUAAUAGUGUUUUGUGGACAGUCAGGCCAACAGACCAUCAGCCAUGACCUUUCACCCUGAAGUCUUCUUGCACAACCUGGUGUUACUUCCACUGGCAAUCUGUCUUGAAAUUCUCAUGUGACUGUUCCUCCCCACCACACACACACACACACACACACACACACACACACACACACACACACACACACGUUGCUUGUUAGUCCCAUAAUUAAAGAGUCAUGAGAUGAAAACACCAGUGCCACCCCAGUUCUGUGGUGUGUGGUCAAGGAAGCAUGAUGAGAAGGGACUCAGGGUAUCUCAGGAGGCUGGGAGGGUGACAGAGCUGGCCCCACCUCUGAAGCCAGGGCUGAUGCUCAUCCUGCAUCCACAGCUGUCCAGAUGAACUGCUGACCAGACAAAGGGCUGACAG
rnacentral:lncRNA from 1 species